rnacentral:rRNA from 1 species
UACGGGGGGAGCAAGCGUUGUUCGGAUUUACUGGGCGUAAAGGGCGCGUAGGCGGCGCAACAAGUCACUUGUGAAAUCUCCGAGCUUAACUCAGAACGGCCAAGUGAUACUGCUGUGCUAGAGUGCAGAAGGGGCAAUCGGAAUUCUUGGUGUAGCGGUGAAAUGCGUAGAUAUCAAGAGGAACACCUGAGGUGAAGACGGGUUGCUGGGCUGACACUGACGCUGAGGCGCGAAAGCCAGGGGAGCAAACGGG